UACGUAGGGCGCAAGCGUUGUCCGGAAUUAUUGGGCGUAAAGAGCUCGUAGGCGGCUUGUCACGUCGGAUGUGAAAGCCCGGGGCUUAACUCCGGGUCUGCAUUCGAUACGGGCUGGCUAGAGUGUGGUAGGGGAGAUCGGAAUUCCUGGUGUAGCGGUGAAGUGCGCAGAUAUCAGGAGGAACACCGGUGGCGAAGGCGGCCAUCUGGGACAACACUGACGCUGAAGCACGAAAGCGUGGGGAGCAAACAGG
rnacentral:rRNA from 1 species